rnacentral:rRNA from 1 species
UUUGAUAUUGAGUGUCUGUACCGCAUGUACAGGAUAGGUAGGAGCCGUAGAAAUCGGAACGCUAGUUUCGAUGGAGGCGCUGGUGGGAUACUACCCCUGCGUUAUGGCCACUCUAACCCGCACCACUGAUCGUGGUGGGAGACAGUGUCAGAUGGGCAGUUUGACUGGGGCGGUCGCCUCCUAAAAGGUAACGGAGGCGCCCAAAGGUUCCCUCAG